GUCCAUGUUGCUCCAAGGAAGGACUCAACCGAGGAGCCUGGACGGCCUUGGAAGACAAAACUCUCACAGCUUACGUUAAAGCUCAUGGAGAAGGCAAAUGGAGAAACCUCCCCAAGAGGGCUGGUUUGAAGAGAUGUGGUAAGAGCUGUAGACUUAGAUGGUUAAAUUACUUGAGACCAGACAUCAAGAGAGGUAACAUAUCCCAUGAUGAAGAAGAACUCAUUAUUAGGCUCCAUAAGCUUCUUGGUAACAGAUGGUCUCUAAUAGCUGGAAGGCUACCUGGGCGAACAGACAAUGAAAUCAAGAACUAUUGGAACACCACUCUGGGAAAGAAAGUUAAUGCGCAAUCAACUUCGCCACAGUCCAAACAUGAUACUGCUACCUAUUCUAGGCAGAAAAGGCUAACCACUGAACCCAACUCCAACAAAGCCUCAAACUCACCACAGCCAGCCAAAGUCAUCCGCACCAAGGCCACUAGGUGCACCAAAGUCCUCAUCCCAUUACAGUCUUCACCUCUGCAGCCUGAAUUUCACACCCUCAACCCAACAGCCAACAGCGACACACUACCUCAAACUUUCUCGCCAAAUCAUCCUAAUCAAGAUUUCGAUUCUUCUCGACUACUCCACUCUGGAACAUUUACUAAUCAGGACCUUCAUCAGGAUUACGAUCAUGAUUUAGAUUUCUUGAAUCUUGACUGUCAUGAAUUUCAAGCAAGCCAUGGAGAUGGUGCUCUAGUGGACUAUAAUUACAAGGAAAAUUUAUCCAUGGGUCUUGAUCAUCAUCAGUCCGUACCCUUAGAGGAGCCUACAAUGUUCAACGACUGGGUCACCAGUACUUGUCUCGACGACAAUGCCAAUUUGGACCUUGAAUCCUUAGCAGUUUUGCUCGAGUCUGAGGAAUGGGCACUACAGUAGUUAACCAUAAAGAAAGACUGUCUUAUAAUAUAGAAGAAAAAUAAAUAAAUUUGUGAAUAAAUAACUAUAUAUUAGCAUCAACUGUUGCAUGUCACUUGUAGAAUUUGAAGUAACCAAUUAGUAAUUAACUAGCAUGUUGACAUUGAAAAUUUCUUGGCGGGCAAUAUUUUUCUUAUUGUAA
rnacentral:misc_RNA from 1 species